rnacentral:lncRNA from 1 species
AAUGUUCAUACAACUGAGACUCAACUAAAUAUCUCUUAUAAAAGCUCUUUCCACUAACCAUGACAAUAUAUAGAUUGUAAAAUGAAGAUUCUACUUAGACUUAAUUCUCUUCUCAACUUCCUCCAUACUUAGAAUGCGGUAUACAGACCUGUUAUCGCAUUCAUAUACUUUCAUUUAGUUACAAAAUAAUGACAAUAAUUACAUUCAUUCUACGGUUAAAUAUGUUUUUAGUUCCUACUAAAUUUACUUCUUUUUUUUGUCUUUGUACCCAUUUUAGUCCCUACGAAGUACAAAACUCCGUGCUUUUAGUCCCUACAAAACAUUUAGUUUGUAACUUAUAGGGACUAAAACGUGAAUACAGGACGAAAAACAAAAUUCAAGAUAAUUGUAGGGACUAAAAAGUGAGUAAAGGACCCGAAACAUAUUCAUUCAUUCUAUUCCAAGAAGACACAGAAAUUCAAUUUACCAACAGAGAAGGCAUGCUGAAAUACACAGUAUCACAUUUCUCUGAGCUUUGUAUGUCUGAGUAAAAAAAAAAAUCAAUAGUCAAUGAAUCAACAAUGUAGAAUAUUUUAAGGAGAUGAAAUACAGCAGUUUCGCAUCUUCAUUAAAGGAAACUCAAACACAGGGUGAUGAAUAUGACAUACUGGGAUAGCGCAAAUAGAGUUUCACAUUGUAUGAUUGAAGCAAUGUUAUCAAUCGCAUAUUGCAGAAAAUAGCGGGUUGUUUGAAUACCACUGUGUAACAGUGCUAUAGCACCGCUAUUUGAAAACAUUAGGUACUAAAUAGUGUAUUGCAGAAUGAUAGAAUUGAUAAGGUGUAUGUAAGUAAGAACAUGGAGGUGCAGCAGGGAAUCAUUAGCACUAGUGUUGUAACUAACUUAGUGAGUAAAGCAUGACUAGAGACAGGUGGCAUGAGAAGAAAGAGAAAGGGGAUCUGAUGGUUAUAAGAGGAAAGAAUGUUCGGUAGGAAAUUAGGCAAUGAUUUGAGUAGUCACUCUACUUGGGAGAUUCUAGGUG